GGCGAUCAGAUACCGCCCUAGUUCUGACCGUAAACGAUGCCAACUAGCGAUCCGCCAGUCGACUCAUCGCUCUGGUGGGGAGCUUCCCGGAAACGAAAGUCUUCCGGUUCCGGGGGAAGUAUGGUUGCAAAGCUGAAACUUAAAGGAAUUGACGGAAGGGCACCACCAGGAGUGGAGCCUGCGGCUUAAUUUGACUCAACACGGGGAAACUCACCCGGCCCGGACACCGUAAGGAUUGACGGAUUGAUAGCUUUUUCAUGAUUCGGUGGAUGGUGGUGCAUGGCCGUUCUUAGUUCGUGGAGCGAUUUGUCUGGUUUAUUCCGAUAACGAGCGAGACUCUGGCCUACUAAAUAGUUGACGCAUUGCCACUGUGCGCACAACUUCUUAGAGGGAUUUUCGGUGUUUUCAACCGCACGAAAUUGAGCAAUAACAGGUCUGUGAUGCCCUUAGAUGUCCGAGGCUGCACGCGCGCUACACUGGCAAACGCAACGUGCUUGUCCUCCCCCGAAAGGGGUUGGUAAACCGAUGAAAAUUUGCCGUGAUUGGGAUCGGACAUUGCAAUUAUUGUCCGUGAACGAGGAAUCCCUUGUAAGGGCGAGUCAUCAACUCGUCCUGAAUACGUCCCUGCCCUUGUA
rnacentral:rRNA from 1 species